CUGUUCCGGCCACCCUCUAGCGUCUUGAGCCGCUGCUACAUUCCUUCCCGAUACGUCGUGCGCUCCGCUAGGAUCGGCCAUGGGGUUUGGGUCCGUACGUACGGCUCGGGCGCAUUUUUUUUCCCUUUUUCCAUUUCAGCCAAAUUUCUGGAACCUGUUCGGGUUUCGUUGUGGGGGCGUGCGCGAGGUUUUAGCCCGUUCCGGUUUGUUGAUACGUGUGUACUCGAUGUGGGGUCGCAGCUUGGAAUGCGAUGGGUUGGGUGGCCUGGCCUCGGUGAUUGUGGUUUGGGUGGCUCAUUAGUGUUUAGCGUUGUUGAUCACUGGGGGUUAGGGUUUAAAGCCCAAGGUUUUGCGGCCUUGCGGGUGCCGAUUGCGGGGAUUGCUAGUUCGUUGCGUUGUCUACCUGUUAAUCGCAGUAAAUCGCCCUGGUUUUGGUGGGUUUUUGGUUGGUUGUUUGAGCGCAUUUUUUAUUAAAAGAUAAGAGAAAUCCAUGCAGUUUUGGUGGGCAACUGUGCCUGCAUGUGAUUUAUUUGUUUUAUUUAUUUCUCUUUCUGUUUCUUCGUUUCACGACUGGUUUUGUGUGUUGUGAACUUGUGGUGGAUACACGUAGAAUUUAUGUAUUUUUCCUGCAGACUGUACGAGAUUUUUAUUGGUACAAGAGCUGACCAAAAAUUGCCUACACGUGAGAUGUGUCCCUUUGGAUGUGGUUAAAAUUGUUCUGUGGGCAUGGUAACAUGACAGAUUGCUUCUGUGUGAUCGUCCUUGUUGAAGUGGUGAUGUGGCUUGGGUGCCCUUACUGUGACAAAGCUUGUUGUCUUCAUAUGUUCUUGUGCAGUUGUACAUCACAUUUCGAUCAAACAUUUUGUGUGUGUGCUCCACAUGAUUCCAAAGCUUGUAUUGCAAUUGUGGUCUGUUGAUGGGGUGGAACGAGUCUUGGUUCUGGAAGGAUGGUUAAUUCGGUGGUCCACUGGGUAUGCAUGUGGUUCCUAUUGCAACUUUGCAAGGCAGGGGAUUAAUUAAACGACAUGCCGUGUGUAGUAAGUUUUAUUUGAAGGGUUUCCUCAGGGCUAUGUGCUUGUUCACAUAUUGAUAAUCUUUGUGACAGAUUAUUAUGUCCAUGGCUCUAUUUUGCGACAAGAUUUAGUUUCAAUUCAAAUUUUGAGUACUUUUGUUGCUACUCUGCAUAACAUUCAUGAUUUGAUGAAAUAAAUAUAAUUUUCCGUGCUAAAUAAUGAACUAGUAGUGGUUUUGUUUGGUUACAUGUUGGCAUAAAAUGGGUGAUCUACAUGUUGUUUACACUUCAGAAAGAAAAUGUUGCUAAUGUUUUGAACCGUUCUACCAUCGAAACCACCGAUACUUCUCAAGCGCUUGAAGGGACCCACAAUCUUGCAAUGGAAGCACUUCAGCCAAACAUCCAGGCUGGGAUCCAUACUCGUAACCUCCCAGUAAAACAGCUUGGAGGGAUGAUCUUUGGUUGCAAGCCUGAUACAAUUGAAGAAUGCUUCAAAAAACAGCUCUUUGGUCUGCCUGCAGUCCAUUAUUCAUAUGUGAAGAAUGUAAAACCUGGUAUGCCUUUGUUUCUAUUCAAUUAUAUUGACAGAAGACUCCAUGGUAUUUUUGAGGCUGCAAGUCUUGGUCAGAUGUCUAUUGAUCCAUAUGCUUGGAGUAAUGAGGACUUAUUAAAGACACCUUUUCCUGCUCAGGUUCGUAUUUGCAUAAGGACUCGGUAUCCACCAAUGUUAGAGAGCAGAUACAAAACAGUGCUUGGUGCUAACUAUUAUGAUCGUCAUCUAUUCUACUUUGAGCUGGACCAUACACAGACAGAAGCUUUAAUUUCUUUGUUCAAGUUGCUGCCCCUUGUUAAUAAUCAAGUUCCAGCUGCUCCAAGAGAAAGGAGUAUUGCUGUGUCUUUACCACCAACUAAAAGGAAGGCACCAGUUCUUCCUGACCCAAAGAAAGUCAAAGAAAAUUCAAAGGAUAUCAAUCCAUUUAGUGUUUUAUCAAAUGCAAGUGAUGGUGCUCAAGAAAACUGGGUUGAUUUUGAUUCUGACGUGGAAAAUGCUAGCAUCAAUGAAAAUUCACACAGUGACACUGAUGAGAAGGAAUUUGAGGAGCCAGUUUCUGAUUGGGAAGAUUUGGAUGACAAUGCUCUUCAAUACCAAUUCAGUCCUUAUUCAAAUUCAGAUGAGGUCAGUCAAAACUCCUCAUACAAAACAGUUUGCCAAGAAGUGGAGCUUGCUGAAUGCAUUCCUCCAGUUGUCAAUCCUGCGAGUGAAGAAAAACUCACCAUGCUUGUACAUAAUGAGCAUAAAGCUGCUGUGUGUAUUGGCAAAAUAGAGAGUGAAGUUAACAGUAUCAUGGAUGGUGUUGGGCUACAGCCUGAAAGACACACUAUCCUGAAAAAGCUGAAAGAGUUAUUUUCCAUGCGACAGCAAGGGGUUUCUUCGCAGGAUUGUGUUGAGUCAAGCCCAGAUCAAUGUGUACCUGAAGAAACCCUUUCCUGUGACCCAUUAGAUGUCACUGUGGAAGACAAAACCUCUUUUCAGGAACACCUUGGAGAAUUUGAUGAGCUUCGACAAAUCAUUGCUGAUUUAUCCAAGAGGGCUGAAGCAUUGGAGAAGAAGCAGAAAGGAUCAGAUCAAGAUCUACUUUUUUUGAGGGAAGUUGUUAAAGAUUCAGGAAGAAAAGUACAGCAACUGGAAUAUCUUGUAGAUGAGUUACAAUUCCGAUUUGACUCUUCAUUGUCUCUUCCUGGAAGCAUGCACAAUACUUUAGCCAAGCCAUCGAUAUUUCUGAUCGGUGGCUACAAUGGUGUGACCUGGUUAUCAUCUCUUGAUUCUUUUUCUCCUGAGAAAGACACAAUGGUGGGUCUCACACCAAUGAGUUUUGCCCGCUCAUAUGCAUCUGCUGCUGCAUUGGAUGGUCACAUAUUUGCUUUUGGUGGUGGAGGUGGCAAGUCAUCAUGGUAUAACACAGUGGAAUGCUAUAGUUCGAGGAAUAACGAGUGGAUAGAAUGCCCCUCGUUGAACCGCAAGAAAGGAAGUCUCGCUGGUAUCAGUCUUAAUAGCAAAAUAUAUGCUAUUGGUGGGGGAGAUGGAAAUGAAACUUUUUCAGAAGUUGAGAUGUUUGAUCCAUACCUUGGGAAAUGGUUAUGUGGUCCAUCUAUGCUGAUUCCUUUGCAAAGCACCUCAAAGGGUUGAAUAGUCUUGACACCAACAUGCUACCUUAUUCACAAUAUAUGUUGCAGCGAUUUGCUCUUGCCGUGGCUGAAUUGAAUGGAACAAUCUACGCCACUGGUGGGUAUGAUGGAAGCAUGUACUUACAAUCAGCAGAACGGUAUGACCAAAGGGAGGGUGUCUGGGUCCGUCUUCGAAGCAUGAACACAAAGAGGGGAUGUCAUGCCCUUACUGUCCUUGGAGAAAGCCUAUAUGCAAUGGGCGGAUACAAUGGAGACAAGAUGGUUUCUAGCGUUGAGAUCUUCGACCCUCGGCUCAACGCCUGGAGGAUGGGAGAUCCCAUGAGCGCCCCAAGAGGGUACGCCGCUGCAGUUACUCUGGAUGGAAGCGCGUACUUAAUCGGUGGCCUGGAGUCCAAUGUGCAGAUCCUAGCUACCGUUGAAGUUUACAACGCGAGCUCCGGCUGGUCAGUUCUCGGUUUGAGUUCACUCGGGAAGAGGUCCUUUGCAUCUGCCGUAGUCAUGUAGUUACUGAUCACGAUGUUAACUACUGUCGAUAACAUCAGGUUUAACAUAGUCGCUGCGUUAUGCAAGGAGUAGUUAGGGUAAGGUGGGUGGGGCUAGAUCACCCUUCCGAUGUGUAAUGUGUUGAGAUCUUCAUCAGGGGAAAUUCGCAUGGUAUGGGAGACUACGGCCCGUAUACCUUUGAACCCUCGUAGGAAGUCUUGAGAACCCUUGCAUGCAUUCGCUGUUGUAUGCGUGCCAUGCUGUUGAAUUUAGCUGUACUACACCAGAUAGUGAUACCCGAACUCACGGAGUUUAAUGGAACCGGAUAGAAAGCUGCCCAUGUAGUUUGGUGUUUGUUGCUUACGUUGUGGAUUUUACUGUAGUGACUUGUCUAAUGCUCCGUUUCUCCGUUUGGUUAUCGACCAUAUUGGAGGGCAUGGAAUUAAAAUAAGUUCAAU